UACGUAGGGUGCAAGCGUUAAUCGGAAUUACUGGGCGUAAAGCGUGCGCAGGCGGUUCGUUGUGUCGGCGGUGAAAGCCCCGGGCUUAACCUGGGAAUGGCCGUUGAAACUGGCGAACUGGAGUGUGGCAGAGGGGGGUGGAAUUCCGCGUGUAGCAGUGAAAUGCGCAGAGAUGCGGAGGAACACCGAUGGCGAAGGCAGCCCCCUGGGCUAACACUGACGCUCAGGCACGAAAGCGUGGGGAGCAAACAGG
rnacentral:rRNA from 1 species